rnacentral:snoRNA from 1 species
ACGGCAUGAUGGGGACAUUUUCGAAUGAGAUCCUUUAAUCGUUCCCAUGAUUCAUGGAACCACUCACCAUCUUGCUGUGAAAAGCUAGUGAGAGCUCGCCUU